rnacentral:rRNA from 1 species
UACGUAGGGCGCAAGCGUUGUCCGGAAUUAUUGGGCGUAAAGAGCUCGUAGGCGGUUUGUCGCGUCUGUCGUGAAAGCUUGGGGCUUAACCCCAAGUCUGCGGUGGAUACGGGCAGACUAGAGGCAGGUAGGGGAGAACGGAAUUCCCGGUGUAGCGGUGAAAUGCGCAGAUAUCAGGAGGAACACCGGUGGCGAAGGCGGGUCUCUGGGCAACAACUGACGCUGAGGAGCGAAAGCGUGGGGAGCGAACAGG